GCGCGGGUGGCGGAAUUGGUAGACGCGCUGGAUUUAGGUUCCAGUGGAGCACUCCGUGGGGGUUCGAGUCCCCCCUCGCGCACCA
rnacentral:tRNA from 5 species